rnacentral:rRNA from 1 species
CCUACGGGUGGCAGCAGUAGGGAAUAUUGCUCAAUGGGGGAAACCCUGAAGCAGCAACGCCGCGUGGAGGAAGAAGGUUUUCGGAUCGUAAACCCCUGUUGUUAGAGAAGAUAAUGACGGUAUCUAACGGAUAAGCACCGGCUAACACCGUGCCAGCAGCCGCGGUAAUACGACGGGUGCAAGCGUUACUCGGAAUCACUGGGCGUAAAGAGCGCGUAGGCGGGGUAGUAAGUCAGAUGUGAAAUCCUAUGGCUUAACCUGAGUACUGCAUUUGAAACUGGUACUCUAGAGUGUGGGAGAGGUAGGUGGAAUUCUUGGUGUAGGGGUAAAAUCCGUAGAGAUCAAGAGGAAUACUCGUUGCGAAGGCGACCUGCUGGAACAUAACUGACGCUGAGGCUCGAAAGCGUGGGUAGCAAACAGGAUUAGAUACCCGGGUAGUC